GGUCCCGUAGUGUAGCGGUUAUCACGUCGCCCUGUCACGGCGAANAUCGCGGGUUCGAUUCCCGUCGGGACCG
rnacentral:tRNA from 1 species